UACGGAGGGGGCUAGCGUUGUUCGGAAUUACUAGGCGUAAAGCGCACGUAGGCGGACUGUUAAGUCGGGGGUGAAAUCCUGGGGCUCAACCUCAGAAUUGCCUCCGAUACUGGCAGUCUCGAGUGCGGGAGAGGUGAGUGGAAUUCCCAGUGUAGAGGUGAAAUUCGUAGAUAUUGGGAAGAACACCAGUGGCGAAGGCGGCUCACUGGCCCGUAACUGACGCUGAGGUGCGAAAGCGUGGGGAGCAAACAGG
rnacentral:rRNA from 1 species